AGCGUAGACGGAGUGGCAAGUCUGAUGUGAAAACCCGGGGCUCAACCCCGGGACUGCAUUGGAAACUGUCAAUCUGGAGUACCGGAGAGGUAAGCGGAAUUCCUAGUGUAGCGGUGAAAUGCGUAGAUAUUAGGAGGAACACCAGUGGCGAAGGCGGCUUACUGGACGGUAACUGACGUUGAGGCUCGAAAGCGUGGGGAGCAAACA
rnacentral:rRNA from 1 species